AUGUGCGGGCCCCCCAGGAGCCCCUGUGCUCAGAGGCUGGGCGCACGGUUCCCAGAUGUCACUGAUGUCCCUGUGCUCACGGGGCCCGCCCAUGGCCAUGCACAGCUGUGGUCCAGGCACUGGAGACCACCAGGGGCGGGCGCAAGUCCCAGAGCCCGUGCCCAGCCUACGCUUGUACCACCACGGACAGCGGCUGUGAAGCCCCGGGCCGUAGAAGCUCCAGGCUCCCAUCUCACGCAGAGACCCGGCUUGCGGCCUCAGUCGUCUCUGCAGGGCAAUGGGCGGCGGGCGAAGCCCCCACGGCCCCUCUGCAGCGCCCCGCCUCCCCUUCCCGACCGGCCCGCCCCUGGGUCACGUGUCGCGCGGGGGUUUUCCCGUUCCCCUGCCUUGAUGAUGUCACCGCGGCGAGCGGGCCAAUGGGCGCGCAGAACGGCGGCGCCUGGGAAUUCCGCAGCCCCCCUCCCCGUGCCCCCCAGCAGCCCCGGGCACCGCGCGUCCUGCCCCGCCUGCGGCCCCAGCCCCUGCGACGCUUGUCCGGGCCGCGAUCCUCCGCGGGACAGCUCGCGUGCGCACUUGGGUCUGGGCCGGCCUCCGAGCCGUGCGUCCCCGCUGGCCGGGCCAUGCGAGCCGCCGCGUCGCCAGACAGCCCGCUGCACCGGAGCUGGGGCCCUGGGUAAGCGGAGCCCGGGUUGGGAGAGGGCUGGGGGGGCUCCCGCUGAACGCUGGGGGCGGUGCGGAGACGCUGCGCUCAGGGGAGAAAGCCGCAGAGUAGGAGAAGGGUACAGCCCUAGGUGCGGGCGAGGUUUCCCAGCGAGGAGUGAGAAGUGGGCGGGGCCUGACCCUGAGGCGGACAAGGGGCGGGGCUCCGAGAGGCGAGGGGGAGGGGCCUGGCCCGCGGGGGCGGGGCCUGCGCGCCAGGAUGGGACAGGGUCUGGGCCCAGCGUAAAGAAGGAAGCGUGGCGCAGUGGGAGGGCCGAGGGGGCGGGGCAUGCCGACGGGAACGCCCCGCGAUGA
rnacentral:lncRNA from 1 species